ACAAGUAGCCUAGAUAACAGCUGGCCGCAAGGUUAGAGGAAAGUCCGGGCACCAUAGAGCAAAGCGCUCGUGAAAAUGAGCGGGCCGCAAGGUUCGAGAACAGCGCAACAGAAAAUAUACCGCUAACCGUGCUUUGCACGGAAAUCCUAAAAGCUAAUCUCUAAAUUCUAAAUGCGGUACAAUUGUUUAGGAUUUAGUAUUUGGGGCUUAGAGUUUCUAUGCAAAGCAUGGCAGUAAGGGUGAAAUCGUGGGGUAAGAACCCACGCGUUCGUACAGCGAUGUGCGCCUGUGGCAAGCCUCGCUUGGUGUAAGUGGAGUGGACCGAAGCAGUCAACUUCUGCUCGAAGGGCUGCUUAGGUCUCCGCGCUUAGAUAGAUUGUUAUCAUGGCGAAUUGGAUUCGCCUCCUACGAAUUUACUAAUUAAACGAAAUUACGAAUGUAACCACACGGAUAUCCACACAGAUCGAACACGGUUGUCAUUUUAAGCCAGACGAGAAAUCUACGUGUCAUCAUUUCAGUGUCCAUCCGUGCAUUAAGUCAGUGUGGUUGAGUACUUUCGAGAAAUGAUUCGUACAUUGGUAGGGGGCGCGUCUAGCGCCUACAGAACCCGGCUUAAAGGCUACUUGUGGAG
rnacentral:RNase_P_RNA from 2 species